rnacentral:sRNA from 1 species
UAUGGUUAUUGUACACCGCAUGCUAAUUGUGUACAUGCUACUGUGGUCUUCGAAAUUCAUUGGGAUAUUGUGGAUCAGGAUGAAAGUUUUCAUUAAGAUCCCAAAAAUUUUAUCUAUCGAGUAACAAUGAGCCAAUGAUUUAGUUCUUGAAAUCAGCUCUGCAUGAUCGACUGUUUUCGUGAUAACAACGGGUCGGUUACGUGGGAAAGUUUGAAAUUUAGUUGCUAAGUUCCAUGCCAAAAGGCGUUACUAGUUUUAUCCGCUUGUCGACAGUAGCGCCAUCGUGACGAUAACAGAACUCGAACUACAGGUGGAGCAGUGAACAGCAGAAGGCUUUUAUAUCGGAUUAUUUUUGGUUCGCUAUUCACUUCAGAAAUUUUCGAGCGAGAGAGUUAGAUAGAGGAGCUCGUUGAUCGAGACGUCGCAGAUAUUUGCGUGUCAAAUUUCGAAGUACUUGCUAGUCGGAGAUCAAGGCUGAAAAAUGACUCUGUCAAUUCUGUUCGCAUUCUGUCGUCACAUCGCCAUAUCACUGUCCUCAUUUCAUACAACGAACGUGUCAUCUACGAAUCGAACUUGUCGCAUUGAGCGUAGUCAACGACUUAAUUCACAACGAUAUUUCCCAACGAUUAUAAAGCGAAUAUGUUACAAGCCUUGUCCAAGCCUCACGAUUAUACAUUUUUACCGACGUUCCAGUUCGUUAUUUUCGAUAUUCAUGUGUACGACCUGAAGUUCGACGACGCUGCAUAACAAGAUCAAUUAACGUUCCAUGUUCUC